rnacentral:rRNA from 1 species
UACGUAGGGUGCGAGCGUUGUCCGGAAUUACUGGGCGUAAAGAGCUCGUAGGUGGUUUGUCGCGUUGUUCGUGAAAACUCACAGCUCAACUGUGGGCGUGCGGGCGAUACGGGCAGACUGGAGUACUGCAGGGGAGACUGGAAUUCCUGGUGUAGCGGUGAAAUGCGUAGAGAUCUGGAAGAACACCAAAGGCGAAGGCAGCGUCCUGGCAAGCAACUGACGCUCAUGUGCGAAAGCUAGGGGAGCGAACGGG